CACUUUGUGAUUCAUGACUGUGGUGAAGUCGUAACAAGGUAACCGUAGGGGAACCUGCGGUUGGAUCACCUCCUUA
rnacentral:rRNA from 1 species